AACUCAGGGAAUCACUGGAGAUUUUUUUAGUUGCUUUGCUGAAAUCCAGAUGCCUUUUCUCUCUCACAUGCCACCUG
rnacentral:snoRNA from 1 species